UGCAAUGUUAGAGAAGACACAUCACUGUC
rnacentral:sRNA from 1 species